GACAGAGGGUGCAAACGUUGCUCGGAAUUACUGGGCGUAAAGCGCGUGUAGGUGGAUUGGUGUGUCAGAUGUGAAAGCCCUGGGCUCAACCCAGGAAUUGCACCUGAAACUACCAGUCUUGAGUGGUGGAGAGGGAAGUGGAAUUCCUGGUGUAGAGGUGAAAUUCGUAGAUAUCAGGAGGAACACCAGUGGCGAAGUCGGCUUCCUGGACACCAACUGACGCUGAGACGCGAAAGCGUGGGGAGCAAACAGG
rnacentral:rRNA from 1 species